UGUGAACUGCAGGACACAUGAACACCGACACGUUGAACGCAUAUUGCGCAUUGCACGACUUAGUGCGAUGUACACAUUUUUGAGUGCCCACAUUCACCGCAGAACCAACUAGCGAGGCUUUGCUUUGCUGCGUACUGAUGAUUGAUUAACCCCCCCGGUGUGUUAGUCAAGCAUUGAAGGACUGUGGCGUGUGGUGGUGCACCGUGUGAGUCGUGUUGCUUAAUACGAUCUUCUCUCUGGCAUCACAAACAGAGCGGUGGGCUGUCAAGUCACAAUCCCCAGCGACCUGUGCAAGAUAGCCCCGAUGUGGAAGUCCAAGCGACUUCCCUCACGGUCAGUCUUUGUGAUACCGUACACCGAGAGAAGAAAUCAAACGUACCCUGAAGCAACGAACGUUCACAUGGUGUGAUCACACCACAACACGAACAAAAACCGACACAUGAAGUGGGCCUCAAAUAAUGUGUGACUACCCCCUGAAUUUAAGCAUA
rnacentral:rRNA from 1 species